CCUACGGGAGGCAGCAGUGAGGAAUAUUGGUCAAUGGGCGCAAGCCUGAACCAGCCAAGUCGCGUGCGGGAUGAAGGUUCUAUGGAUCGUAAACCUCUUUUAUAAGGGGAUAAAGUGUGGGACGUGUCCUAUUUUGUAUGUACCUUAUGAAUAAGGAUCGGCUAACUCCGUGCCAGCAGCCGCGGUAAUACGGAGGGUCCGGGCGUUAUCCGGAUUUAUUGGGUUUAAAGGGUGCGUAGGCGGCCUUUUAAGUGCGUGGUGAAAGUCUGUGGCUCAACCAUGGAAUUGCCGUUGAAACUGGGGGGCUUGAGUAUGUCUGAGGCAGGCGGAAUGCGUGGUGUAGCGGUGAAAUGCUUAGAUAUCACGCAGAACCCCGAUUGCGAAGGCAGCCUGCCAAGCCAUGACUGACGCUGAUGCACGAAAGCGUGGGGAUCAAACAGGAUUAGAUACCCGAGUAGUC
rnacentral:rRNA from 1 species